rnacentral:pre_miRNA from 1 species
CUGUAAAGCUCAGGAGGGAUAGCGCCAUGAUGAUCAUUAUUGACAUAGAUUAUAUUUGGCGCUAUCCAUCCUGAGUUUCAUUGG